rnacentral:rRNA from 1 species
UACGAAGGGGGCUAGCGUUGCUCGGAAUCACUGGGCGUAAAGGGUGCGUAGGCGGGUCUUUAAGUCAGAGGUGAAAUCCUAGGAGCUCAACUCCAGAACUGCCUUUGAUACUGGCGAUCUCGAGUCCGGAAGAGGUGAGUGGAACUCCUAGUGUAGAGGUGGAAUUCGUAGAUAUUAGGAAGAACACCAGUGGCGAAGGCGGCUUGCCAGAACGCGCUCGACGGUGAGGGAUGAAAGCUGGGGGGAGCAAACCGG